rnacentral:rRNA from 1 species
UGGGGAAUUUUGCGCAAUGGGGGAAACCCUGACGCAGCAACGCCGCGUGGAGGAUGAAGCCCCUUGGGGUGUAAACUCCUUUCGAUCGGGACGAAACCCGUUGGCUAACAUCCAACGGCUUGACUGUACCGGGAGAAGAAGCACCGGCUAACUCU